rnacentral:rRNA from 1 species
UACGUAGGGUGCAAGCGUUGUCCGGAAUUAUUGGGCGUAAAGAGCUCGUAGGCGGUCUGUUGCGUCGGCUGUGAAAACCCAGGGCUCAACCCUGGGCCUGCAUUCGAUACGGGCAGACUAGAGUUCGGUAGGGGAGACUGGAAUUCCUGGUGUAGCGGUGAAAUGCGCAGAUAUCAGGAGGAACACCGGUGGCGAAGGCGGGUCUCUGGGCCGAAACUGACGCUGAGGAGCGAAAGCGUGGGGAGCAAACAGG